GACUGCUCCGGUGGCUUAGUGGUUCCAGCAUCCGCCUAGGAUGCUGGAGGUCGUGGGUUUGAUCCCAGGCUGAGUCA